rnacentral:rRNA from 1 species
ACUGACCGAUAGUGAACCAGUACCGUGAGGGAAAGGCGAAAAGAACCCCGGCGAGGGGAGUGAAAAAGAACCUGAAACCGUGUACGUACAAGCAGUGGGAGCCCCACCACUAAGCCAGUGGUGAACUCCACAUACGCAUCCUUUGCUGAGGAUACGGUUAACGGAGCGAAAGCGACGUUCAACCUCAAAAGAAGCAGAGGGGGCUUAGUGGUGGGGUGACUGCGUACCUUUUGUAUAAUGGGUCAGCGACUUAUAUUCUGUAGCAAGGUUAACCGAAUAGGGGAGCCGGAGGGAAACCGAGUCUUAAUUGGGCGUUAAGUUGCAGGGUAUAGACCCGAAACCCGGUGAUCUAGCCAUGGGCAGGUUGAAGGUUGGGUAACACUAACUGGAGGACCGAACCGACUAAUGUUGAAAAAUUAGCGGAUGACCUGUGGCUGGGGGUGAAAGGCCAAUCAAACCGGGAGAUAGCUGGUUCUCCCCGAAAGCUAUUUAGGUAGCGCCUCGUGAAUUCAUCUCCGGGGGUAGAGCACUGUUUCGGCUAGGGGGCCAUCCCGGCUUACCAACCCGAUGCAAACUGCGAAUACCGGAGAAUGUUAUCACGGGAGACACACGGCGGGUGCUAACGUCCGUCGUGAAGAGGGAAACAACCCAGACCGCCAGCUAAGGUCCCAAAGUCAUGGUUAAGUGGGAAACGAUGUGGGAAGGCCCAGACAGCCAGGAUGUUGGCUUAGAAGCAGCCAUCAUUUAAAGAAAGCGUAAUAGCUCACUGGUCGAGUCGGCCUGCGCGGAAGAUGUAACGGGGCUAAACCAU